AUUUUUAAUGUUGUGGGAGUCAAACGCGGGAUCUGACCUUUUUUGAAAUUCCUCGUUUAUUAUCUUUGCUACGUUUCGGAGCUUUAUUUCUCCUUCCUCAGGCCUGAAAAAACAUUAAUGGACAAUAUUUUUUCUUUCACAUUUUAUUUUUUUUUUAUUUUCACGUUCAAUAAGAAUUGUUUUCUUGCAAUAUUUCAGAAAAAAAAUGCCGGAUGAGAAAAUUAUUUGAUGCAUCGAUUUUGUGAUGAUCCGGAGCUGAUUUUCUAGAGCCUAGAACAGCCAGCAGAACCCCAAAAAAAACGAAGUCAAAGUGUCUUCUGCCUGUAAUUUUAUAGUCAAAUAUUUUUCAAUUGAUCUUCCCAGCGGAAACAGGAACAUAAACUCUUCAAUGUGACUUUUCUUCACCAUCAAAGGGCAAAAUGUGUGAGCGAUCACUUGAGAGAGGGAACGAUCACCAUAAGAAAUUACUGAUCACUUGCCGUGUUGUCUGUAAGAAGCGAAAGGAAAGCGGAGAACCACGUUCAGGCACAUCUUGUCGCGCCAACAGUUCGAGACUAAUUUCUGAGCGAGAUACAUAUUCUCUGCGAGACUGUGGGCGCUCAAAGUGGAUGAAACAUUGGUCGUGUUGGUGGGAUCUCAUUUUUUCCCCUUAACUCUUUUAUUCCUUGGAGGGAUAAAGAGGAAGGACAAUAGAGAUCCAAAGGAUUAACCACUUGUUUGAAGCUGGAUUUCCCAUUUCCCAGAUUUAUUUUAAAUUAAUUUUCCUACAAUAUCCAGGAGAAAAUUCAUCUUCUCGUGAUCUCUUACUUAAGCCAUCCAGCAUGUGGGUAAGUUGAGAAGAAGAAAAAAAAACUGUGAGACAGCAUUAGAUAAACAUUAUAAAGGAGAAGAAUGUACAUAUGUGGAAACAAUUAUACACAAGAGUGCUCCAUUCGUUCAUUCAUAAAAUGAUAAAAUAGCAUUCAUUCCCCGCCAACAUACAAUCCAUGCCGAGUCUCCCCCCAUUUGUACACACAUUCAACCCAAAAGCAAUUGAUGCACAAAUACAACGUGACUGUUUACACCGUGCAAAUAGUAACAAAACUCCCCGACUUUGGGGCCCGAUUGUGCGCGCCACUUGAUCAUCAUGCGCACAAAUAAUUCAUCGGCUCCGUGGGCUUACCCAUCCUCCGUGUGCAGACAACGCGGUUAUUUUGUAAACAUUACUGACGAGAUAUCAAAGAGCACCAAAGCACCCACUGCUGUGCAAGAAUUG